UACAGAGGAUGCAAGCGUUAUCCGGAAUGAUUGGGCGUAAAGCGUCUGUAGGUGGCUUUUUAAGUCCGCCGUCAAAUCCCAGGGCUCAACUCUGGACAGGCGGUGGAAACUACCAAGCUGGAGUACGGUAGGGGCAGAGGGAAUUUCCGGUGGAGCGGUGAAAUGCGUAGAGAUCGGAAAGAACACCAACGGCGAAGGCGGGUAGCUGGGCCGACACUGACGCUGAUGCGCGAAAGCCAGGGGAGCGAACGGG
rnacentral:rRNA from 1 species